CAAUAGCGUAUAUUAAUGUUGUUGCAGUUAAAAAGCUCGUAGUUGUAUUUUGUAAUGAUAUGGGUGGUUGGAUUGUUGUUGGUUUUUUUUAAAUCCAUCGACGCCUCCACCCUGUUAAAUCUUGGUUACUUGUAGGCUUCGGUCUGCGUUUAAUCAUCAUUUACCUUGAAAAAAUCAGAGUGUUCAAAGCAGGCUUCUUCCUCACUGAUCAGCUCCCUUUUACCGGGGAAUUGAUCGAUUCAUGAGGAGAUGCUCGAAUAUAUUAGCAUGGAAUAAUAACAUAGGACUGGUGAGCGGGACUCAUUGAGUGGGGUGGUGUUUCUCACUUUUCUCACCCAACCCACCCACCAGUAAUGAUUGAUAGGGACAGUUGGGGGUGCUAGUAUUCAACGGCCAGAGGUGAAAUUCAUGGAUUCGUUGAAGACUAACUUAAGCGAAAGCAUUCACCAAGGAUGUCUUCUUUAA
rnacentral:rRNA from 1 species